GAGCCGCGCAGACUUCGAGAACUACGACCACUCAACCAUCACCAACUUCGGAUCUUUCUGCUUCUUCGUCCCUCGCAGGGGGUUCAAACCACAAUACUUGACGGUCUUCAAAUGUUUCAGCCCUAAAGUCUGGGCGUGCUUCCUGAUCACGGUGGCGACCUUCUCUCUCCUGCACCGCUAUCACAUCCGGUUUCAGUCGCAGCAAUUCGCGCAUUUAUACACGGAGGGCGAGAUCGUUCAGUACGAGAGUUCAUCAACAGUACUCACCAUCUACAGAUACUUCCUGUGCGUGUGUCAGCCACGUUUGCUCCUCGGCAAACUUGCGUCCGGGAAGAUAUUUUUCUGCGUCUUCACGAUGGCAGCGAUUGUUCUGACCACGCUCCUGCAGAGCGGGAUGGUAACCUUCCUGAACACGCGAAUCCGUUACGCUGACAUCGAUUCGGUGCAGCAGCUUAAGGAGUCGGACCUCCUGGUCCAGACGGUGAAUCUGGAUUCGGACAAGGAGUUUUUCGGUCGUGACGAACAGCUCGGUUGGAUUAAAGAGCGCCUCGUCGAAAGCUAUCAGUUCAGUUCCGAGGUGAUUUCGAGUUGGACUGAUUACUGUGAGCACUUUGCCAACUGCACCGACGAUCCCGAGGAACUUCGAAUUUCGAGCGCUUCAGCCAGGCAAAACCUCGGUUCGAUCUUGACGUCGGACGUUUUCCUGGGAAUGACUCCUGUCACUGCGCGGCGGAAUUGGGGUUUGGCGAAGUACGGUCAGAUUUACGAGUAUCACGUCGUGGAGGAGUGUUUGGCAACAUAUGAAUAUGCCCUCAAAGCUUAUCCGGAAGAGUGUGAUCAGUUAAAAGAGAAGGCAGCAGUAACCGAAGAUGAUGGCCUCCUACAAGCGAGGAAAUUAAAACCUCAGGUACAUCAAGAGCCAAGUCAACCUUUGGCUAUUCCCUCCACCAUGGUACAAAUAGGUCCGUUUUCCCCUAAGUGUAACCAUUUUUUGGCAGAGGGGAAAACAAACUGUCUUCAGCAAUCAUAA
rnacentral:lncRNA from 1 species